AGGUAAGAUUUAUACCCAGCAUGGGAUGGGGAGUGAGAAGCAGGUCUGAGCAGCGGAGGACAAGGAGAACAGCAGGCAACUACUCAACUCUCUGUAGACAAGCUACAGUUUGUCUUCGUUAGGAAAAUUGGGGCCGCCGAGCAUAAAGCACACAUAUUCAAAGCUGUUGUGUAGAAUCCACAUGAAGACCAAGCUGCAUAUCUGCUACAUAUGUGCAGGGAGGCCCAGGUCCAGCCCUGUAUGUUCUUCGGUUGGUGGUUCAGACUCUGAGGGCCCCAAGGGUCCAGACAGCCUGGACUGGAGGCUUAGAAGAGACACCUGAAGGAAACCAUCAUCCCAGCCACAAGGAUUUCAGCCCUGACCAUCAUAGGUCUGCUAAACUUUGGACAGCUUCUGGCAAUAGAGCAUUAGAGAUGCCAGAUAAGACCAAGAUCAGCAGCUCAGGUCUCCACAGCGGAAUCCCCAAAUGCCCUUUGGCUAAUGAAAACUAGCCAAUGGCCAUUGGGUUUUAAGCUACUUCUUUGUGGAGUGGCAAGUUAACAAAGUGAUACCUAGUACUAAAUACCUCUUUGGGAGGCAAUUUCUCUUUUGGCUCUGUAUAUUAUAUGUUAGAUAUUUGAAGCAUGUGAGUUGUUCAGAUUCUGGGCUGUAACUCAACAAUUUGGCUUCUCUUAGAUAAUUAUAUACAUAUAACUGGCAUGCCACGUGGAAUUCACAUUUAGAGAUCUAAUUUCUAAUCCAAAAUAGCAUAAAAACUGGUAAAAAAAAAAUUCACUUUAGAAUUAAUGGUCACAGCACACACACCAAGAUCACCCUAAAGGAACAUUAUUACCAUAAUGUUUUAAAAAAAAAAAGAAAAAAAAUGAACUUCAAAGGAACUGCUAUUAUUUCCAGCAUAACAAAGGAAGUCGAUGGCAGAGACUAUCCUUUGAUGACUGUUUUCUCUGUUCAGAAAUAGCCUCCAGCUGCUAUCCUGCCCAAACCGGCAGAGACAGCAAACGUGAGCCAAGCUCAGGGCAGGGAGAAGAGAGCUGGCUUUGCAGGACCUGACACUGUGUGGGUAGAGGAACAUCUAGUUGUUGGUGACUAUCACUGAGAUCGCCAACACACUGCACUGUUUGCCACUAGAAGGCUGAACCUAAAACUUUGCCUGUGUAAAAUUCUCAUCAGAGGCCUGGCCUCCAGAGACAGCCAUUGUGUGAAGCCUGUUGUAGAUGACAUUGGCAGUGUCCAUGUGGCGGGGCCCAUCCUGCUCUGUAGACUCUAAUUCAGACCUGAAGCAUAACUAUGCUGUUUAUUGUUAUUAAUUUUUGUCAUGUUUUUGUCAACAUGAUGGAAAGAAGGAGUUUUUUUUUUUUUUUUUUUGUCAUUCUAUUUUUUUCCUGGCUUUUACGUAGGACAUUUUGAUAUGGUUCUUCUCAAACGAAAGACAAUAAACUAAAUUAACAAG
rnacentral:lncRNA from 1 species